GGGCUUGUGGUCUAGCGGUAUGACAUCUUCUUAGCAUUCGGGCGUCUCUCGAGACCUGGGUUCUGAGAUGGAGAAGGUUCCGCGUUCGACUCGCGGCUAGUCCA